UGCAAAUUUUAAAGAAAACCUUCGACCUGCGUAGUCUAGUGCCUGCUGACAGAUACGCGGGAAAGCUCUGAAGCUCUAUUAGUCCAGUUAUCAACUGUCAGAAAAACAUUUGGGCCAUCCCUUUCUUCUAUCACUCAAGGGUUCUUUGACUUGCUGGUCAAAGGAGGGAUGACCCUCCGUUCUCAAAGGUCUUCUUUCUUUGGAUGCGUAUUGACUAUGGUUCAUAAUUCAUGGCGGGACACACUCGCGACAACAAAAAGGACUAAUUCAUUUAUAAAAUUUGCACAACUACGAAUACUUUUAUGAUGACAAACACCUCUCCGUCCUUUCGUAGCAUGGACAACCAACGCCACCUUAUCCGGUUUAUUAUGCACUGCACGAUACUAUAGGGAACGUGCAAUCAAGCCAUUCCUGCACCGAGUUUGACGAGACACACCAGGUUCGUUACUCAUCCCUCCAAACCUUUGCCAAUAGAGAAGAGUCGCCAUCGGUGCGAUUAAUAAAUCAUCACGAUAAGAGCACGUUGACGGCAUAACGAUCGCUGGCAGAGGCAAUCGCGUCAGCGCCGGUGUCGGUGAUGAUGUGUACUCGAAGUGAUACUUCGUUCGCCUUUCGUUCUAUCAUUCAGUCAUUUACGGGAUGGCCCUCACCUAUCGCCGGCCUGAGCUCAGCUCUCUUACCGUUUCUUUUUCUCACUUCUAUUCACGUUUUUCUCUAAUGGCCAACCAGAUUUUCCUCGGGACGACAUAUUUGGACGACAACACUGCGCGCGCAUUGCAUCUGCGGCAAAUAAAGGACGGGACUACAUCAUCCCAAACGUCCAAUAAAAAAAAAAGUUACUCAAAGGAAAACGCAAAGUUCGGCAAAGUGAAGUCCGUGACCAGUCAUUGUAUCUUUCAAAACGGUUCGUGGCACAACCUUGUGUACUUACGCAGAUUGGUCAAGGUGAGGAGGUUACUGUCAGUUACAUCUCAGUGGAUCGUAACAAACUAAUGCAGAUGCAUGUUUACGAGUAUAGCACUGUUUUCAUGGAUGCUUCAAAAUGUAUAUCUGAUAUGUUCUAUACUUGAAUACAGAAUGUCCGAGAUAUAAAAAGAAUACAAGCUGCUAGUGUAUUUUGCC